rnacentral:rRNA from 3 species
GGUUAAGCGACUAAGCGUACACGGUGGAUGCCCUGGCAGUCAGAGGCGAUGAAGGACGUGCUAAUCUGCGAUAAGCGCCGGUAAGGUGAUAUGAACCGUUAUAACCGGCGAUUUCCGAAUGGGGAAACCCAGUGUGAUUCGUCACACUAUCAUUAACUGAAUCCAUAGGUUAAUGAGGCGAACCGGGGGAACUGAAACAUCUAAGUACCCCGAGGAAAAGAAAUCAACCGAGAUUCCCCCAGUAGCGGCGAGCGAACGGGGAGGAGCCCAGAGCCUGAAUCAGCAUGUGUGUUAGUGGAAGCGUCUGGAAAGGCGCGCGAUACAGGGUGACAGCCCCGUACACAAAAGCGCAUGUGCUGUGAGCUCGAUGAGUAGGGCGGGACACGUGGUAUCCUGUCUGAAUAUGGGGGGACCAUCCUCCAAGGCUAAAUACUCCUGACUGACCGAUAGUGAACCAGUACCGUGAGGGAAAGGCGAAAAGAACCCCGGCGAGGGGAGUGAAAAAGAACCUGAAACCGUGUACGUACAAGCAGUGGGAGCACAGGUUUACCUGUGUGACUGCGUACCUUUUGUAUAAUGGGUCAGCGACUUAUAUUCUGUAGCAAGGUUAACCGUAUAGGGGAGCCGUAGGGAAACCGAGUCUUAACCGGGCGUUAAGUUGCAGGGUAUAGACCCGAAACCCGGUGAUCUAGCCAUGGGCAGGUUGAAGGUUGGGUAACACUAACUGGAGGACCGAACCGACUAAUGUUGAAAAAUUAGCGGAUGACCUGUGGCU